GACGAACGCUGGCGGCGUGCUUAACACAUGCAAGUCGAACGGAAAGGCCCUGCUUUUGUGGGGUGCUCGAGUGGCGAACGGGUGAGUAACACGUGAGUAACCUGCCCUUGACUUUGGGAUAACUUCAGGAAACUGGGGCUAAUACCGGAUAGGAGCUCCUGCUGCAUGGUGGGGGUUGGAAAGUUUCGGCGGUUGGGGAUGGACUCGCGGCUUAUCAGCUUGUUGGUGGGGUAGUGGCUUACCAAGGCUUUGACGGGUAGCCGGCCUGAGAGGGUGACCGGCCACAUUGGGACUGAGAUACGGCCCAGACUCCUACGGGAGGCAGCAGUGGGGAAUAUUGCACAAUGGGCGGAAGCCUGAUGCAGCAACGCCGCGUGCGGGAUGACGGCCUUCGGGUUGUAAACCGCUUUCGCCUGUGACGAAGCGUGAGUGACGGUAAUGGGUAAAGAAGCACCGGCUAACUACGUGCCAGCAGCCGCGGUGAUACGUAGGGUGCGAGCGUUGUCCGGAUUUAUUGGGCGUAAAGGGCUCGUAGGUGGUUGAUCGCGUCGGAAGUGUAAUCUUGGGGCUUAACCCUGAGCGUGCUUUCGAUACGGGUUGACUUGAGGAAGGUAGGGGAGAAUGGAUUUCCUGGUGGAGCGGUGGAAUGCGCAGAUAUCAGGAGGAACACCAGUGGCGAAGGCGGUUCUCUGGGCCUUUCCUGACGCUGAGGAGCGAAAGCGUGGGGAGCGAACAGGCUUAGAUACCCUGGUAGUCCACGCUGUAAACGGUGGGUACUAGGUGUGGGGUCCAUUCCACGGGUUCCGUGCCGUAGCUAACGCUUUAAGUACCCCGCCUGGGGAGUACGGCCGCAAGGCUAAAACUCAAAGGAAUUGACGGGGCCCCGCACAAGCGGCGGAGCAUGCGGAUUAAUUCGAUGCAACGCGUAGAACCUUACCUGGGUUUGACAUGGAUCGGGAGCGCUCAGAGAUGGGUGUGCCUCUUUUGGGGUCGGUUCACAGGUGGUGCAUGGCUGUCGUCAGCUCGUGUCGUGAGAUGUUGGGUUAAGUUCCGCAACGAGCGCAACCCUUGUUCACUGUUGCCAGCACGUUAUGGUGGGGACUCAGUGGAGACCGCCGGGGUCAACUCGGAGGAAGGUGGGGAUGACGUCAAGUCAUCAUGCCCCUUAUGUCCAGGGCUUCACGCAUGCUACAAUGGCUGGUACAGAGAGUGGCGAGCCUGUGAGGGUGAGCGAAUCUCGGAAAGCCGGUCUCAGUUCGGAUUGGGGUCUGCAACUCGACCUCAUGAAGUCGGAGUCGCUAGUAAUCGCAGAUCAGCAACGCUGCGGUGAAUACGUUCCCGGG
rnacentral:rRNA from 1 species